rnacentral:rRNA from 1 species
UACGAACGCUGGCGGCGUGCCUAAUACAUGCAAGUCGAACGCAGUUGGGACGGGUGAGUAACACGUGGGUAACCUCCCAUCAGAGGGGAUAACCCUUGGAAACAGGUGCUAAACCGAUACUGAUGGAUGGACCCGCGGUGCAUUAGCUAGUUGGUGAGGUAACGGCUCACCAAGGCCACGAUGCAGAGGCGGCCUGAGAGGGUGAUGGGCGAGACUGGGACUGAGACACGGCCCAGACUCAUAGGGGAGGUAGCAGUAGGGAAUAUUCGGAAAUGGACGAAAGUCUGACGGGGCAACGCAGCGUGAGUGAAGAAGGUUUGCGGAUCGUAAAGCUCUGUUGUUAGAGAAGCGGUAUCUAACCAGAAAGCCACGGCUAACUACGUGCCAGCAGCCGCGGUAAUUC